CAGAAUAUAGUUUAUAUAAAAUAGUAAGUUUGGGGCUUGCAGAAGAGCUGAUCUUUUCUGA
rnacentral:tRNA from 2 species